rnacentral:rRNA from 1 species
GAUGAACGCUAGCGGCAGGCUUAAUACAUGCAAGUCAAGGGGUCAGCAAUGGCACCGGCGGACGGGUGAGUAACGCGUACACAACGUACCUUUAACUGGGGGAUAGCAUCUGGAAACGGGUGGUAAUACCGCAUGUGGUUGCGAGGAGGCAUCUCUUUGUAACUAAAACUUAGGUGGUUAGAGAUCGGUGUGCGUCUGAUUAGCUAGUUGGUAGGGUAGAGGCCUACCAAGGCGACGAUCAGUAGGGGGCGUGAGAGCGUGAACCCCCACACGGGUACUGAGAUACGGCCCAGACUCCUACGGGAGGCAGCAGUUGGGAAUCUUAGGCAAUGGACGAAAGUCUGACCUAGCGACGCCGCGUGAGGGAAGAAGGCCUUGGGUUGUAAACCUCUGUCAUGGGGGAAGAAGUAAGUGACGGUACCCAAGAGGAAGCCCUGCUAACUACGUGCCAGCAGCCGCGGUAAGGAGUAGUACA